AUACCCUAUUAUUUUUAAUGUAAAGAUUUUAUGUAAGCUUGAGUAUUAAAAGUUAUAAUCUUGAAACUCAAAGAAUUUGGCGGUAUUAUAAUCUUUUUAGAGGAAUCUGUUAAGUAAUCGAUAGUCCACGUUGAACCUUACUUAUUUAAUUUUCUUGUAUAUCGCUGUUUAUGAAAAUACUUUUAGGUAAACAAAUUUUUUAAAUUAAUGAAUGUUUGAAUAUUUCAAGUCAAGGUGCGGAUUAUAUUUAAGUUGAAUAAUGGAUUACAAUAAAAUUUAUUUAAUUAAUGGAUUAUUAUUUGAAAGUGAUAAGUAAGGUGAAUUUAAUUGUAAUUUUAUAUAGAUUAUUAAAAUGAAUUUUAAGCUCUUUAAUAUGUACACAUCGC
rnacentral:rRNA from 1 species